GACGAACGCUGGCGGCGUGCUUAACACAUGCAAGUCGAACGGAAAGACCCUGCUUUUGUGGGGUGCUCGAGUGGCGAACGGGUGAGUAACACGUGAGUAACCUGCCCUUGACUUUGGGAUAACUUCAGGAAACUGGGGCUAAUACCGGAUAGGAGCUCCUGCUGCAUGGUGGGGGUUGGAAAGUUUCGGCGGUUGGGGAUGGACUCGCGGCUUAUCAGCUUGUUGGUGGGGUAGUGGCUUACCAAGGCUUUGACGGGUAGCCGGCCUGAGAGGGUGACCGGCCACAGUGGGACAGAGAGUCAGCCCAGACAACUACGGGGGGCAGCAGGGGGGAAUAUUGCACAAUGGGCGGAAGCCUGACGCAGCAACGCCGCGUGCAGGAAGACAGCCUUCAGGUUGUAAACCGCUUUCGCAUGUGACGAAGCGUGAGUGACAGUAAUGGGUAAAGAAGCACCGGCUAACUACGUG
rnacentral:rRNA from 1 species